CCUACGGGAGGCUGCAGUAGGGAAUCUUUCACAAUGGGCGAAAGCCUGAUGGAGCAACGCCGCGUGCAGGAUGAAGGCCUUCGGGUUGGAAACUGCUUUUAUAAGGGAGAAAUAUGAGGGUAACUUAUGAAUAAGGAUCGGCUAACUACGGGCAAGCAGCCGCGGUUAUACGUAGGAUCCGAGCAUUAUCCGGAGUGACUGGGUGUAAAGAGUUGCGUAGGUGGCAUAAUAAGUAGCUAGUGAAAUCUGGUGGCUCAAACAUUCAGACUAUUAGCUAAACUGUUAAGCUCGAGACCGUGAGGGGCAUCUGGAAUGUCUAGUGUAGGAGUGAAAUCCGUAGAUAUUAGAAGGAACACCAAUAGCGUAGGCAGGAUGCUGGGACGGUUCUGACACUAAGGCACGAAAGCGUAGGGAGCAAACGGGAUUAGAUACCCCUGUAGUC
rnacentral:rRNA from 1 species